UACAGAGGCCUCGAGCGUUAGGCGGAAUCACUGGGCUUAAAGCGUGUGUAGGCGGACUUCUAAGUACCUUGUGAAAUCCCACGGCUCACCCGUGGAACUGCUUGGUAUACUGGUUGUCUUGAGCCUUCUAGGGGCGAGUGGAACAAAUGGUGGAGCGGUGAAAUGCGUAGAUAUCAUUUGGAACGCCAAUGGUGAAAACAACUCGCUGGGGAAGUGCUGACGCCGAGACACGAAAGCCAGGGGAGCGAACGGG
rnacentral:rRNA from 1 species